UUAGGCAAAUUAGCAUGUAAUAUGUGCGGGAAGUGGUAAAAUUUAUUUCCACAGAAGUCCCACUUCUUAAAAUGCAUUUUUUUGUUUGCCAUUGUACACAGUGUGUUGGUUUAAGAGAAGUAUUUAAGUCAAAGAAAACACGAUGCAGAAGGUUCAGGGUGCCAUUUGAUAAACAAUGGGCUGCAAGCUGUCAAAAAAAAACCCUAAAGUGGCAAAUCUGGCACAUGCUGAAUCCAUUCCUUUCUGUGCAGGAAGAAAAAUAACAAUCUAUUUCACAUCCAGCCAAACUCUUUCACAAUCUGCAUUGCUCAAAGCUGGAGUCAUAGCCAGCAGCAGCAGGGAUGUCCGUCUGUUGUGGCACUCUUUGCAAGCAAAGCCGCCGGUUCCUCAAUGACAGUAAACCCCGGGGAAUCACAGGGUAUGUACUCCUGUGCUAUGAUUAGGAUCUGUCUCCUCAAAUUCCAUCCUUGAGGUCUCUGCAGGAGGGGGCUUUUUGCUUUGUGUCCUGGCCUGCUUCAGUUCACAAAGGAUGGAUGGAUGAACACUGUAUUGACAAAAUACAUUGAAGAUAGGGUUUCAUUUCCCAUGGCUGGAGAGGAUGUGGGGAAGUUUAUUGCGAGUAAAAGAAACAAGUGGCUGAAGAACCGGUAGCAGGAGGCAAUAAUUAAUGGAAAAUGCCAUGUGCAGGGCAGGGUGGGCAGAAAAAUUCAGUGGGAGGUGGAAGAGGGAGAGGGGAGAUGCUACUUGGAAGGGUCUUGUGAAAAUCCCUGUGUGGCACAGGGGCUGGUGGCCAUUGUGGAGCAUCCAUGAGGCAUUGGGAGGAUCACUCACUGGUGGAGCCAGGUGCCAGCAAGUGUUCGGGGUGGUGUGUUAAGAAAAAUACCUGAGUUCCAGCAACAGCAGGAGGCCUGACUGUAAUGAGCUUAAUGAAUGUGACGCAAGGGAUGUUUCAGGUAGAAGGAGAAAUGUGUGAUUUCUUGUAUGUGUAAUUAGGACACUUGGCAGCUGGGUAAGCUUUAAUUGCCAUUCAAAGCUCCCAGUCUUGCCAAAGAAUGAAGAGAGUGAAGAGAGCUAUUGAUUUCCAUCUGGGCAAACAAUUUACUUCUUAGUGCUCAUCAGCCUGAUGUGUAUCUUCAUUCCCUGUCACUGCUGUGUGCGAGCUAAAGCUGCUUUCAUCGGCAGAUUUCAGGUGGGGGCUCAGUUGAAUAUGUGGCUAGAAUUGCAAGGCAUUAAUAGUAGAAACUGCCUCAUUUACCACACUGGCAGUGCACAGUGUGCUCAGAGUCUUGGAAAAUCUCCACAUUUCUAGAUCUUUAUAUAGAGCGUCUCUCUGCUGUAGAGUCCAGUUGCUUCCCAAAAAUAAAAUGGGCACAGAAGGAUCCUUCUUCUUCCUCUACUAAAUGGGAGCAAGGCAAUGUUUGUUUUAUAUGAUGCAUGUUUGUCUAUAAAUGUAGCGUUACUGAGCAGAGAAGUGGAUUUUGCAUUUCACUUUGAAGACACAGAUGUCCAUAAUCAAUAUGAUCUCUUUUGGGGGCAGCUUCCAAAUUUCGUGGGCUAAAUGCCACAUUUUUGCCCUGUUGUUGGCAGUUUCAUUGUUUCAGAGGCAUACAGCUAGUGCAGGUCAUGAUUUUGAAACGGAGGCAAAAUGAUAAAACUUAUAUGUAGACACAAAGUGUAGCAAUUUAAUUAGAAAAAAAAAGUUAAGUGGUAUCUUGGGGGAAAAGGUUAAGAAGAGAGAAAGAGGAGGUAAAAUUGCCUUUGCAAAGCUAUAAAAAAACAGACUUGCUGCAAUUUGCAAUAUGCAAAAGCAUCAUUAGGCAGAAACAGGUUUUUAUACAACUAAUCAAUCUCACAUUGUGCACGUAAUGGGGAUCGAUGUGCCCAUGCAGCAUAGACAUGUCUGUAUGGUUUUGUGAACUGCAAAAAAAAAAAAAGGUUGGAAUAAUGAUUUCCCUUCUGUUAAGGAAUGGCUAAUUAGCCAAAUGGUAAUAUCCAGCAGAUGCAUGUAGGAAAUUCCAUCAUAUAGAUCCCCAGGGGCACUGGGCACUACACAGUAUAAAAUAAUCAAUAGUCAAUUGUAAAAAUUUUUAGAUGUACCCAGUUCUGACAAAAUUAUUUGUACACAAAAUGGGAAGAAAUAUAAAUGCACAAAGGGUUGGUUUUUGUUUUGCUCAUGUUUUGGCAUGGAGUGAUUUCACUAGAAUGACUCUGCGCUCACAGCAGUGACAGGGUGGAAUUGGCCUUCAGUUAUACAUUAAGUGGGGCAAAGUUGAGUGAUAGCCUGUAAACUAAAACGAAAGCAGUACCUGACUAAUGUCUAAAAAGUAUUAAUCUAAAAAUAAUAUUGUCUAAUGUGUUUUAUAUUUUAAAAGUGUUUUUUUCUGAUUUACAGGGGAAGAAAUGCCUAACAUGGGUUAAUAUGGUUAUUGACUAGUUGUAUCUUGAUUUCUU